CACGUAGGGUGCGAGCGUUGUCCGGAAUUAUUGGGCGUAAAGAGCUCGUAGGCGGUGUGUCGCGUCGGCCGUGAAAACCUGCAGCUUAACUGUGGGCUUGCGGUCGAUACGGGCAUCACUGGAGUUCGGCAGGGGAGACUGGAAUUCCUGGUGUAGCGGUGAAAUGCGCAGAUAUCUGGAGGAACACCGGUGGCGAAGGCGACAUCCUGGACCGGUAUUGACGCUGAGGCGCGAAAGCCAGGGGAGCAAACGGG
rnacentral:rRNA from 1 species